UACGUAGGGUGCGAGCGUUGUCCGGAAUUAUUGGGCGUAAAGGGCUCGUAGGCGGUGUGUCGCGUCGGCCGUGAAAACCUGCAGCUUAACUGUGGGCUUGCGGUCGAUACGGGCAUCACUGGAGUUCGGCAGGGGAGACUGGAAUUCCUGGUGUAGCGGUGAAAUGCGCAGAUAUCAGGAGGAACACCGGUGGCGAAGGCGGGUCUCUGGGCCACUACUGACGCUGAGAAGCGAAAGCAUGGGGAGCGAACAGG
rnacentral:rRNA from 1 species